rnacentral:misc_RNA from 1 species
GUAGGUGAACCUGCGGAAGGAUCAUUACAGAGUUCAUGCCCUACCGGGUAGAUCUCCCACCCUUUGUCAAUAUCAUCAUCUGUUGCUUUGGCGGACCGCAGCCUCGCUGCCUAGGUUCUCGACCCGGUGCGUCCGCCAGAGGACCCCCCAACCCUGAAUAUUAGUGUCGUCUGAGUACUAUAAAAUAGUUAAAACUUUCAACAACGGAUCUCUUGGUUCUG